GGCUCAGGCAUGACGUCAAACACGGAAGUAUUUCCCGUACUACUGAGUCGCUGCAAAUGACAUUUGAAUGAUUUCUUACCAACCCGUCUUAAUUGCGUAAAUGUCUCCUACUGAAGAGUUAGUCAAGCAGUGGGAAAGUGAGCAGGAGCGUCUCAGAGAGCAGGUGGUGGAGGAGGACACGGAAGAUUGGCAGAAGAGUCCGAACUUCUCAGGGCUUCAAAGGGUCGCUGGGUUGGACCUUUCAUUCAUCAAAGGUGACAACGUCAAUGCCUGCUCCCAGCUCGUAGUGCUCAGCUACCCUGAUCUUAAGGUGCUCUAUGAGGACAGUCAAAUGGUGACCCUGACAACACCAUACAUGGCAGGCUUUCUAGCCUUCAGAGAAACCCCUUCCCUCUUGGAAGCACUGCAGCGACUUGAAAGGGACAGGCCCACACUUCUGCCUCAGGUGGUAUUUGUGGAUGGCAAUGGUCUCUUUCACUACAGAGAAUUUGGACUAGCAUGUCAUGUUGGAGUGCUGUCAGGGCUGCCGUGUGUUGGUGUUGCCAAGAACCUGCUCCAGGUCCAGGGAGUUUUCAAAAAUGAAGAACACCAGUCUCAGAUAUCAGCACUGCAGAAAGGUGGAGACUGCUUUCCGCUCAGAGCUACCUCUGGCAAAGUGCUUGGAAAGGCACUACGUAGCUCAGAUAAGAGCACCAAGCCAGUCUAUGUGUCAGUUGGCCACAAGAUCAGUCUGGACACAGCUGUUCAGCUGACCCACUCCUGUAGCCGAUUCAGAGUCCCGGAACCAAUCAGACAGGCCGACUAUCGCUCCAGAGAGUACCUCCGUGCUCACUUCCCUACGGCAGAGACAGGAAGCACAGAUUGAGACAACCUCAAACCUCUUGGUCAUAUUGCCGAUGAAAGUGUAAGAAUCUGCGCCGAAUGUGGGAAGGCGAGCAGGCGCAAUGGGAAAAUAAAGAAGGAGAAUAUGUCUGCCGGCGUUGUGCUCAUCGAAAGAGAAAUAAAAAUGAUGAUCCAAACUAUUCAGUGAUAGACGUGUAGCAACUAUCAAAAUUCUGAACCCAAUCUGCAGCAUACCGAAAGAGCUGCAGCUGUCUGAUGCUCUACUGGAGGUAAUAAGUUUCUCCUGGUCUGCCUGGAGCAUUCAAACCUUCCGUCUCGAUAUAUUUUUCCAGUUUUAGUAAUUGAUUUUCCCUAUGAUUGCUGAAAGUCAGGUCUGAGUCUAUCAACACCCCAAGAUUUUGGAAGUGAUCUUUUUCACUCCAGGUGUUUUCUAACAACAGUCCUAUUUUCUUCAUUGCUAAAAACAAUUAUCUCUGUUUUGUUUUGGAAAUGUUGGUUCAUCCAGUUGUUUGCUCUAAACGACGACACAGUGCGUUAAUUGAACUGCUGUUAUUUGGGGACAUUGAUAAAUAUAGCUGUGUCAUCUGCAUGACAAUGAUAGCCAACUUUAGCGUUCUGAGUCAUUUGACCCAAAUGGAAUAAAUGCAGACUGAGCAAAAGGGGUGCAAAAACUGACCCUUGAGGGACCCCACGUGUCAUGGCCAUUCAAAACUACCAAUGGUCACCAAGUAAGUAGGACAUGAACCAUUAACUUAAAAUAGGGCAUGAACCAUUCCAUUUAAUCCCACUAAAGUUACCUACCCACGCAAUAAUAUAUUGUAAUCAAUCACAUCAAAUGUUUUACUGAGAUCAAAUAAAACUUGCACUGAUACCUUGCUUGUGUUACCCUUCAAGCUAACAUCAUUUAGUACUUGAGGACUGUUGUUGUUGGAAACCUGACUGGAAUUUUUCAAAAUGUCUGUUCUGUAUACUUUCUACAACCAUAAAGAGGAAGAUUGAUUAAUGGGUGGGAAUUAAUUUAUUUCACAAUUAAUAUGCAGUUAAUGUUAUUCACUUUUUACUUGACAGUCUAACAUGAUUGUUUCUCAAUGGCCAGGCAAAGGCAUUGUUUUCCAACCUCAAUGUUGUUAUCCUCCUUGUAAUAAAAUAACUAUAGUGGGACUCAGGA